UACGGGGGGGGCAAGCGUUGUUCGGAAUUACUGGGCGUAAAGGGCUCGUAGGCGGCCAACUAAGUCAGACGUGAAAUCCCUCGGCUUAACCGGGGAACUGCAUCUGAUACUGGAUGGCUUGAGUUCGGGAGAGGGAUGCGGAAUUCCAGGUGUAGCGGUGAAAUGCGUAGAUAUCAGGAGGAACACCAGUGGCGAAGGCGGCUCACUGGCCCGGUACUGACGCUGAGGUGCGAAAGCGUGGGGAGCAAACAGG
rnacentral:rRNA from 1 species